ACUCCUACGGGAGGCAGCAGUAGGGAAUAUUGGACAAUGGGGGAAACCCUGAUCCAGCAAUGCCGCGUGAGUGAUGAAGGCCUUAGGGUUGUAAAGCUCUUUUACCCGGGAUGAUAAUGACAGUACCGGGAGAAUAAGCUCCGGCUAACUCCGUGCCAGCAGCCGCGGUAAUACGGGAGGGAGCUUAGCGUUGUUCGGAAUUACUGGGCGUAAAGCGCACGUAGGCGGCUAUUCAAGUCAGAGGUGAAAGCCCGGGGCUCAACCCCGGAACUGCCUUUGAAACUAGAUAGCUUGAAUCCAGGAGAGGUGAGUGGAAUUCCGAGUGUAGAGGUGAAAUUCGUAGAUAUUCGGAAGAACACCGAGUGGCGAAGGCGGCUCACUGGACUGGUAUUGACGCUGAGGUGCGAAAGCGUGGGAGCAAACAGGAUUAGAUACCCGUGGUAGGAUAGCG
rnacentral:rRNA from 1 species